rnacentral:rRNA from 1 species
UUUUAAAGAGAGUUUGAUCCUGGCUCAGGACGAACGCUGGCGGCGUGCCUAAUACAUGCAAGUCGAACGAACCGACGAAAAGCUUGCUUUUCU